UACGUAGGGGGCAAGCGUUGUCCGGAUUUAUUGGGCGUAAAGAGCGUGUAGGCGGCUUGGUAGGUCCGCUGUGAAAACUCGAGGCUCAACCUCGAGAUGUCGGCGGAAACCACUUGGCUAGAGUCCGGAAGAGGAGAGUGGAAUUCCCGGUGUAGCGGUGAAAUGCGCAGAUAUCGGGAGGAACACUAAUGGCGAAGGCAGCUCGCUGGGACGGUACUGACGCUGGAGGUACGAAAAGCGUGGGGAGCGAACAGG
rnacentral:rRNA from 1 species